rnacentral:rRNA from 1 species
CGACCAGACUCCUACGGGAGGCAGCAGUGGGGGAUAUUGCACAAUGGGGGAAACCCUGAUGCAGCGACGCCGCGUGAGUGAGGAAGUAUUUCGGUAUGUAAAGCUCUAUCAGCAGGGAAGAAAAUGACGGUACCUGACUAAGAAGCCCCGGCUAACUACGUGCCAGCAGCCGCGGUAAUACGUAGGGGGCAAGCGUUAUCCGGAUUUACUGGGUGUAAAGGGGGCGCAGACGGCGAUGCAAGCCAGGAGUGAAAGCCCGGGGCCCAACCCCGGGACUGCUCUUGGAACUGCGUGGCUGGAGUGCAGGAGGGGCAGGCGGAAUUCCUGGUGUAGCGGUGAAAUGCGUAGAUAUCAGGAGGAACACCGGUGGCGAAGGCGGCUUACUGGAUGGCAACUGACGCUGAGGCUCGAAAGCGUGGGGAGCAAACAGGAUUAGAUACCCCUGUA